UACAGAGGUCUCAAGCGUUGCUCGGAAUCACUGGGCGUAAAGGGUGCGUAGGCGGGUCUUUAAGUCAGGGGUGAAAUCCUGGAGCUCAACUCCAGAACUGCCUUUGAUACUGAGGAUCUUGAGUCCGGGAGAGGUGAGUGGAACUGCGAGUGUAGAGGUGAAAUUCGUAGAUAUUCGCAAGAACACCAGUGGCGAAGGCGGCUCACUGGCCCGGUACUGACGCUGAGGCACGAAAGCGUGGGGAGCAAACAGG
rnacentral:rRNA from 1 species